rnacentral:misc_RNA from 1 species
UUUCCGUAGGUGAACCUGCGGAAGGAUCAUUAUUGGAUUUUGAAACUUCAGGCUGCUGCUGGCUCUCCUCGGAGGGCAUGUGCACGCUUGUUGUCCAUUAUUUCUCCACUGUGCACAAAUUGUAGACCUUUCAGUAGGCCUAUGUUGUUUUUCACAAUCUCUGAAUGUAAUAGAAUGGUUUUGAAUCUUGGGAAAUACGAUACAACUUUCAGCAACGGAUCUCUUGGCUCUC